rnacentral:rRNA from 1 species
UACGUAGGGGGCAAGCGUUGUCCGGAAUCAUUGGGCGUAAAGCGCGUGUAGGCGGCCCGGUAAGUCGGCUGUGAAAGUCCAGGGCUCAACCCUGGGAUGCCGGUCGAUACUGCCGGACUAGAGUUCGGAAGAGGCGAGUGGAAUUCCCGGUGUAGCGGUGAAAUGCGCAGAUAUCGGGAGGAACACCUAUGGCGAAGGCAGCUCGCUGGGACGUUACUGACGCUGAGACGCGAAAGCGUGGGGAGCAAACAGG